AACGAGAAAGUCACCUUCGGGUGGCGAGUACAGUGGCGCACGGGUGAGUAACGCGUGGGUAAUCUGCCCUUUCGUCUGGAACAACUCCGGGAAACUGGUGCUAAUUCCGGAUAAGACUACGACGGCCCUGGUCGACGUGGAAAAAGGUGGCCUCUCCUUGGAAGCUAUCGCGAGAGGAUGAGCCCGCGUUCCAUUAGCUUGUUGGUGGGGUAAAGGCCUACCAAGGCUCCGAUGGAUAGCUGGUCUGAGAGGAUGAUCAGCCACACUGGGACUGAGACACGGCCCAGACUCCUACGGGAGGCAGCAGUCGGGAAUUUUGUCCAAUGGGGGAAACCCUGAGACAGCAACGCCGCGUGAGGGAUGAAGGCCUUCGGGUCGUAAACCUCUGUCAGGAGGGAAGAAAGCUUCACUGCAAAUAGUUGUGAAGUCUGACGGUACCUCCAAAGGAAGCGCCGGCUAACUCCGUGCCAGCAGCCGCGGUAAUACGGAGGGCGCAAGCGUUGUUCGGAAUCAUUGGGCGUAAAGCGGGUGCAGGCGGUGAAGUCAGUCGGAUGUGAAAGCCCAGGGCCCAACCCUGGAACUGCAUUCGAAACUGCUUCACUAGAGUCCCGGA
rnacentral:rRNA from 1 species